UACGGGGGGUGCGAGCGUUGUCCGGAAUCACUGGGCGUAAAGGGCGCGUAGGUGGCUUGGUAAGCGCGUGGUGAAAGCCCGGGGCUCAACCCCGGGUCUGCCAUGCGAACUACUAUGGCUUGAGCACUGUAGAGGCAACUGGAAUUCUCGGUGUAGCGGUGGAAUGCGUAGAGAUCGGGAAGAACACCAGUGGCGAAGGCGACGUGCUGGGUUGCACCUGACGCUGAGAUGCGAAAGUGUGGGGAGCAAACAGG
rnacentral:rRNA from 1 species